GGUUGAUCCUGCCGGACCUGACUGCUAUCGGAUUGAUACUAAGCCAUGCGAGUCAUUGUAGCAAUACAAGGCAUACGGCUCAGUAACGCGUAGUCAACCUAACCUAUGGACGGGAAUAACCUCGGGAAACUGAGAAUAAUGCCCGAUAGAACACUAUACCUGGAAUGGUUUGUGUUCCAAAUGAUUUAUCGCCGUAGGAUGGGACUGCGGCCUAUCAGUUUGUUGGUGAGGUAAUGGCCCACCAAGACUAUUACAGGUACGGGCUCUGAGAGGAGUAGCCCGGAGAUGGGUACUGAGACACGGACCCAGGCCCUAUGGGGCGCAGCAGGCGAGAAAACUUUGCAAUGUGCGAAAGCACGACAAGGUUAAUCCGAGUGAUUUGUGCUAAACGAAUCUUUUGUUAGUCCUAGAACCACUAACGAAUAAGGGGUGGGCAAGUUCUGGUGUCAGCCGCCGCGGUAAAACCAGCACCUCAAGUGGUCAGGAUGAUUAUUGGGCCUAAAGCAUCCGUAGCCGGCUCUGUAAGUUUUCGGUUAAAUCUGUACGCUUAACGUACAGGCUGCCGGGAAUACUGCAGAGCUAGGGAGUGGGAGAGGUAGACGGUACUCGGUAGGAAGGGGUAAAAUCCUUUGAUCUAUUGAUGACCACCU
rnacentral:rRNA from 1 species